rnacentral:rRNA from 1 species
UGAGGAACAUGACCUUCGGCGGGGGAUAGCCGGCCCAACGGCCGGGUAAUACCGCGUACGACCCUCGGGGGGCAUCCCCUGAAGGUGAAAGCCGCAAGGCGCCGAUGGAGAACUUCGCGGCCUAUCAGCUUGUUGGUGAGGUCAUGGCUCACCAAGGCGACGACGGGUAGCUGGUCCGAGAGGAUGACCAGCCACAUUGGGACUGAGACACGGCCCAGACUCCUACGGGAGCAG